rnacentral:rRNA from 1 species
AAUAGAUGAGCCUAAGUCGGAUUAGCUAGUUGGUGGGGUAAAGGCCUACCAAGGCGACGAUCUGUAGCGGGUCUGAGAGGAUGAUCCGCCACACUGGGACUGAGACACGGCCCAGACUCCUACGGGAGGCAGCAGUGGGGAAUAUUGGACAAUGGGGGCAACCCUGAUCCAGCCAUGCCGCGUGUGUGAAGAAGGCCUUUUGGUUGUAAAGCACUUUAAGCGAGGAGGAGGCUUACCUGGAUAAUACCUGGGAUAAGUGGACGUUACUCGCAGAAUAAGCACCGGCUAACUCUGUGCCAGCAGCCGCGGUAAUACAGAGGGUGCGAGCGUUAAUCGGAUUUACUGGGCGUAAAGCGUGCGUAGGCGGCUGAUUAAGUCGGAUGUGAAAUCCCUGAGCUUAACUUAGGAAUUGCAUUCGAUACUGGUCAGCUAGAGUAUGGGAGAGGAUGGUAGAAUUCCAGGUGUAGCGGUGAAAUGCGUAGAGAUCUGGAGGAAUACCGAUGGCGAAGGCAGCCAUCUGGCCUAAUACUGACGCUGAGGUACGAAAGCAUGGGGAGCAAACAGGAUUAGAUACCCUGGUAGUCCAUGCCGUAAACGAUGUCUACUAGCCG